UCAUUCUCCUGUCUUCCUUUGCCAACAG
rnacentral:piRNA from 1 species